AACGAACGCUGGCGGCGCGCCUAACACAUGCAAGUCGAACGAGAAUCCGGGGCAACCCGGUAGUAAAGUGGCAAACGGGUGAGGAAUACAUGGGUAACCUACCCUUGAGAAGGGAAUAACCCGCCGAAAGGUGAGCUAAUACCCUAUACGCUAUCUUUUUUUCGAGAAGGAUAGGAAAGCCGGGUCGAGGACCUGGUACUCAAGGAGGGGCUCAUGUCCUAUCAGCUUGUUGGUGGGGUAACGGCCUACCAAGGCUACGACGGGUAGCUGGUCUGAGAGGAUGAUCAGCCACACUGGCACUGAGAUACGGGCCAGACUCCUACGGGAGGCAGCAGUGAGGAAUAUUGCGCAAUGGGCGAAAGCCUGACGCAGCGACGCCGCGUGGGGGAUGAAGGUUUUCGGAUUGUAAACCCUUUCAUGAGGAAGAUAAAGUGGGUAACCACUUAGACGGUACCUCAAGAAGAAGCCACGGCUAACUCCGUG
rnacentral:rRNA from 1 species